rnacentral:tRNA from 1 species
GCCGAGGUGGCGAAAUGGCAGACGCGCUACGUUCAGGGCGUAGUGCCUUCACGGGCGUGAGAGUUCGAAUCUCUCCCUCGGCACCA